rnacentral:lncRNA from 1 species
AGGGGCCAUGUGCUCAUCUACUAUGUAUUUUCCAUUUUUAAAAGUUGUGGAUACUUCUUCAAGUUCAAGUACUGAGUCCAUUCAUAUCAUCAAAUAUACUUGUGUUCGCUCACUCAUGCAACAUCCCUGCAUUGACAGACUGAUCAUGUCAAUCAGAGAUCCAAAAAGGGUCAACAAAAACGGGUUGCGGUUGCCGUCGACCCAGAUGGCCCGGAAGACAGAGGACCCAAAUAUGUUGACCCAAUGACCCAGAUCGAUGAGCAACCGUUGGACCCCCAAAAGACCAAAGAACACAAAGUGUAAGCGGGCCCUCCCCUCGGGGUCGCUUACUUGGGUGAGUCAAGAGUCAGUGUCAGUGUCGGUGUCGGUGUCUAUGUCUGCCAACAGGUUCCGCAAUCCCGGGCGGCUAAUGAGAGACCCCUUUGCAGACACCUCGUCACCCAUGGCCGUGAGAGCAGCACAGGUAGGACCGGUAAGACCUCACCACCAUUGACCACCCACAUCGCCCCCACCAGCCUGUCUGUCCUACCUCGAUGUCAAAUCCGAUCUCGGGCGGCAACGCGGCGAAGACCGCCUCCAGUGUGGGAAUGGCACCAUCUUGGUCGCAAUUCCACUGCUCGUACCUGCGAACCACAGCAGGGUUGAUGACAGCGCUUCCGCCAAACAUGCAUUCACAUGAUGAGGAGCUUUUCACACGCCAGAAAGCACCUGACGAGCCUUCCCCCGGCAUCUCCUUACCGCUUCCGGUUCCUUUUCCUUUUUCCCUAUCUCUCACCUGGUUGCCCAUUGCCGGGUGAAUCUAUCUCGAAACAGCCGAAGCAGGCUGCUGCCCCGCUUUUGCUCUUCCUGCUGAACCUGCUGGGCCGCAUCGAGGCCACCGACCGCUUGGAUCCUGUCACUGCUGGCACUGGGGGAUGAGCCCGCGGUCGCGGUCGCGGUCG